rnacentral:rRNA from 1 species
GAUCCUUCUGCAGUGGCACUUAUCGAAGCCUUUGUGGCCCCGCAAGGGGUCUGCACCGCGACUGGAAACAAUGGUUGCAGCGCCCGGAGCGAUCCGGGUGUGCAAGUCAGCGUCCGCUGGCGACACUUUCGAAUUGCGGGGAUACCCUAAAGCUCGCCCUACCAACCGGCCAGAGAAAUCUGCGCCGGGGCCCGUGUUAACAGCACGGGGUGCGGUAACAACGGGUCGAGAUGUGACAAUGGGCGAUCCGCAGCCAAGUCCCUAACGGCCACCCCUGGUGGCCCACGGGAAAGGUUCACAGACUAAGUGGAAGUGGGCGGCCCCGCCGCUUAAGAUAUAGUCGGGCCCCCGGGGAAACCCGGGGGGGCAAGCCACUACAAAACCGUUCCGUAGGUGAACCUGCGGAAGGAUCAUUAUCGAGUUCCGGGUCCUCUGGGCCCGCACUCCCACCCUUUGUGUACCUACCUCUAUUCGGUUGCCUUGGCGGACCCCGCCCGGGACCUCACGGUCUCUGGGCGAGCCGCCAGGGGACCUCUCCUAAACUCUUGUCAACGGUGUUGUCUGAGAAAACGCAAAUGAAUUAAAACUUUCAACAACGGAUCUCUUGGUUCUGGCAUCGAUGAAGAACGCAGCGAAAUGCGAUAAGUAAUGUGAAUUGCAGAAUUCAGUGAAUCAUCGAAUCUUUGAACGCACAUUGCGCCCUUUGGUAUUCCGAGGGGCAUGCCUGUUCGAGCGUCAUUACAACCCUCAAGCUCCGGCUUGGUGUUGGGCGCCGUCCUCACCGGACGCGCCUGAAACCCGUGGGCGGUGGCGGCCGAGCUCCCAGCGUAGUCAAUUCUAUCCGCUUCGGAGACCGGACGACACCCGCCUGGAAACCCACUAUUUCUAUGGUUUGACCUCGGAUCAGGUAGGGAUACCCGCUGAACUUAAGCAUAUCAAUAAGCGGAGGAAAAGAAACCAACAGGGAUUGCCUCAGUAACGGCGAGUGAAGCGGCAACAGCUCAAAUUUGAAAUCUGGUCCUUUCAGGUCCCGAGUUGUAAUUUGUAGAGGAUGUUUCGGCUCAGGCCCCGGUCUAAGUUCCUUGGAACAGGACGUCACAGAGGGUGAGAAUCCCGUUUGUGGCCGGCGGCUGCCGCCAUGUGAAGCUCCUUCGACGAGUCGAGUUGUUUGGGAAUGCAGCUCUAAAUGGGAGGUAAAUUUCUUCUAAAGCUAAAUACCGGCCAGAGACCGAUAGCGCACAAGUAGAGUGAUCGAAAGAUGAAAAGCACUUUGGAAAGAGAGUUAAAAAGUACGUGAAAUUGUUGAAAGGGAAGCGCUUGCGACCAGACUUGCCUGCGGAUGCUCAACCGGUCCUUCGGCCGGUGUACUCUUCCGCUGUCAGGCCAGCAUCAGUUCGGGCGGUCGGAUAAAGGCCUUGGGAAUGUGGCUCUCUUCGGGGAGUGUUAUAGCCCUCGGUGCAAUGCGGCCCGCCU